rnacentral:rRNA from 1 species
AGUGUCUGGUGGGUAGUUUGACUGGGGCGGUCUCCUCCCAAAGAGUAACGGAGGAGCACGAAGGUUGGCUAAGCAUGGUCGGACAUCAUGCGGUUAGUGCAAAGGCAUAAGCCAGCUUGACUGCGAGAGUGACGGCUCGAGCAGGUACGAAAGUAGGUCUUAGUGAUCCGGUGGUUCUGAAUGGAAGGGCCAUCGCUCAACGGAUAAAAGGUACUCCGGGGAUAACAGGCUGAUACCGCCCAAGAGUUCAUAUCGACGGCGGUGUUUGGCACCUCGAUGUCGGCUCAUCACAUCCUGGGGCUGAAGUAGGUCCCAAGGGUACGGCUGUUCGCCGUUUAAAGUGGUACGCGAGCUGGGUUUAGAACGUCGUGAGACAGUUCGGUCCCUAUCUGCCGUGGGCGUUGGAAGAUUGAAAGGGGCUGCUCCUAGUACGAGAGGACCGGAGUGGACGCACCACUGGUGUUCGGGUUGUCAUGCCAAUGGCAUUGCCCGGUAGCUAAGUGCGGAAGAGAUAACCGCUGAAAGCAUCUAAGCGGGAAACUUGCCUUGAGAUGAGUCUUCCCUGACCCUUUAAGGGUCCUAAAGGAACGUUUAAGACUAAGACGUUGAUAGGUUGGGUGUGUAAGCAUAGCGAUAUGUUGAGCUAACCAAUACUAAUGAACCGUGAGGCUUAACCUG